ACUGCUUUGUAUAAACAAAGAUAUUUUUCUGGGUAGUGUGAAGUAGCAAUAAUUGAAAAUGUGUGCAGGUUUCCUUUUCAGAACUUAUUACUCAUAAAGUUAAUUAUAAUGUGAUCUGUAUUAUCUGCAUUUAUACUUUAUAAAACAUAUAAAGCAUCUCUGUGAACUCUAAUAUACAUGCAUCAACUGUAACUCAAAAUUGAAUGAAUCUUCAUUUUGGCUCUCAAUGAGAUGCUUCUAAACCUAUUAGUUUGUGAAUGUUCAUAAAUCUCAGUACUAUCAGCAAGAAGCUGCCAAACUGCGUGCCCAGAUAACCACUUUGUAGAACAGUAACAGGGGUUAUAUGGCUGAGGGUUUGAGCAAUAUGUCUAUCAAGGAGCUCAAGGGCGUGGAGACCAAACUUGAGAAAGCAAUUAGCAGAAUUAGAUCCAAGAAGGAUUGGAAGACAUGUUCUCUUAAAGAAAAGCAGUUACUCAAAGCUUAGUUGUGCAUAAAAAUAGAAGGGCAAAGGAGGCAUGGUGAAAAAGAAAAGGAGAGAGCUGCUGACCAAUUGCAUCAAGGUGGGGAAGAUGAUGAAAGCCUGGGAGAACAUCUCAUUUCAUCUUCUCAUACGAUAAAAAUUCUGCAAAAAGUGAGAAUUGUGAUGUUUUUGUGCAAAGGAGCAAUUUUAUGAAAAUUAAUUUGUUUUCUGGAUGUGUUAGUGUGCACAACCAAGUAGCUAAAACUUUAAACUUGCAGCUUCAUGAUCUCAGUAAAAAGUUUAUUG